UCCACGCGGUGGGACCUGGGUCGGUAGUACUUGAUGUAAAAAGAUUUUCGAAAUCUAUGUCUAAAUUACAUCUAAAAUCUGUCACUGAAUUAUGUAUAUAAUUAUAAAACGCAAGUACUACCGGGCGAAUGGCUGCAUAUUUUUAUAUUUUUCGAAAACCUUUCUGCUGUCUAAUUUUAAUGAGACGUUACGUAAAUUACAUUUUAAAUUGUUAAUUAUAUUUCCACAGAUAAAUAAAUUGAACAUAACAAGUUUCUAAAUUAAUUUUCUAACAGGACGCACAGAAAACUAUUCUGUCGCCCUUACGUUCGCUGUCAUUCUUAUUUAUGUUUAUAUAGUUUCGAUAACAAUAUACUUUUAUUAGUUAUGUUAAUUAUAUACUUUUAUUAAUUUUAUACUAUUAUUAAUUAUUAUAAUAACACACUUUUAUUUAUUAUAUUAAUUAUUUUUAUUAACUUGUAUUAUUUAUUAGUCUCGGUUGGGACCCUUGCCGGCCUUUGGGCGGGCUACUAUUUCAGUAUCUUUGCAAUGCUAUUUUCCUUUUGUUCUAACGUUAACUUUUCUCUCUUUCUUUUUUCCUCCUCUUCUUCUAUAACUGUUGUCAAAGUCACUUAUAAUACCGGACAAAUGGUAGCAUAUUUCAAUGUUUUUUCAAUACCGAACAAUUAUUUUUCAUUUUGGAAUUAAAUUGUGAAUUGAGGAUCAUUUUCUUCGUGAGUCAACAAAAAAUUCGGAUCAUUGACCGACUUUGCCAAUUACUAGUUCAGUUUCGCUUCGAAUUUCGACGAGUUCACAUCGUAGAUUUCGCAGUACGCAUUCUCCGCAAGUAAUAGAGAAGAGUUAAUACAUGUGCAAUAAUGGAUCAAUCAUUCAUUCAAUAAUCUACACGAUUUGUAUGGUUUCACAAUCAAGUGGAGUGGUGGGGAUACUCUGCCACUCGUGAAGAGAUAUAAGGAGGCCAAUUUUGACAGUAGGUCUAGUCUUGUCACGAAUUUCAACGAGUCCAAUCUCAAUCCUCGCAGUACGCAUGCUCCAGAAGUAAGAGAGAAGAAUUAAUAAUCAAGUGGUGUGGUGGGGAUACUCUGGCACGCGUGAAGUGAUAAAAGGGGAUGGACUUUGACAGUUGGUGCAGUCUUGCCACGAAUUUCAACGAGUACAAAUCACAAUCCUCGCAGUACGCAUGCUCCAGAAGUAAUAGAGAAGAGUUAAUAAUCGAGUGGUGUGGUGGGGAUACUCUGGCACGCGUGAAGUGAUAAAAGGGGAUGGACUUUGACAGUGGGUGCAGUCUUGCCACGAAUUUCAACGAGUCCGCAUCUCAAUACUCGUAGUACACACGCCUCGUAAAUAAAAGAGAAGAGUCAGUCCAAUUGUAAAUGUGCACAUUGAGCUUAAACGAGGAUACCAAGUUCUCUCUUUACGACGAAUUACAUAAAGGGAAUAUUCGUUUAGCUUAUAGUUCAACACUUUUCAUUUUCAUUUUAUCUUAUAAAUACAAACGGAAUUAAAUUUAGAAUUUUAUUUUUCAUAAAUAAUGUUAACAAACACACACAGUUUCUUUUUUAUGAAAUGAAGCUAUAUUACCUAAUUAGUAUACAUUUCUAUUUAUUGCUUUCAUAUCUAUUAAUUAUAUACAUUUAUAUUAAUCGUAUACAUUUUCAUUAAAUAAAUAUUA